rnacentral:rRNA from 1 species
CCUACGGGAGGCAGCAGUGGGGAAUAUUGCACAAUGGGGGAAACCCUGAUGCAGCGACGCCGCGUGAGUGAAGCAGUAAUUCGUUAUGUAAAGCUCUAUCAGCAGGGAAGAAAAUGACGGUACCUGAGUAAGAAGCCCCGGCUAACUACGUGCCAGCAGCCGCGGUAAUACGUAGGGGGCAAGCGUUAUCCGGAUUUACUGGGUGUAAAGGGAGCGUAGACGGCAGUGCAAGUCUGGAGUGAAAGGCGGGGGCUCAACCCCCGGACUGCUCUGGAAACUGUACGGCUGGAGUGCAGGAGAGGUAAGUGGAAUUCCUAGUGUAGCGGUGAAAUGCGGAGAUAUUAGUAGGAACACCAGUGGCGAAGGCGGCUUACUGGACUGUAACUGACGUUGAGGCUCGAAAGCGUGGGGAGCAAACAGGAUUAGAUACCCUUGUAGUC